rnacentral:rRNA from 1 species
AUGAACGCUGGCGGUAUGCUUAACCCAUGCAAGUCGCACGGACUCUUCGGAGUUAGUGGCGGACGGGUGAGUAACGCGUGAGAAUCUGGCUUUGGGUUCGGGACAACCACUGGAAACGGUGGCUAAUACCGGAUGUGCCGAGAGGUAAAAGAGAAAUUGCCUGAAGAUGAGCUCGCGUCUGAUUAGCUAGUUGGUGAGGUAAAGGCUCACCAAGGCAGCGAUCAGUAGCUGGUCUGAGAGGAUGACCAGCCACACUGGGACUGAGACACGGCCCAGACUCCUACGGGAGGCAGCAGUGGGGAAUUUUCCGCAAUGGGCGAAAGCCUGACGGAGCAAUACCGCGUGAGGGAAGAAGGCUCUUGGGUUGUAAACCUCUUUUCUUAGGGAAGAACAAAAUGACGGUACCUAAGGAAUCAGCAUCGGCUAACUCCGUG